UACGUAGGGGGCAAGCGUUGUCCGGAUUUAUUGGGCGUAAAGAGCGUGUAGGCGGCCAGAUAGGUCCGUUGUGAAAACUCGAGGCUCAACCUCGAGACGCCGAUGGAAACCAUUUGGCUAGAGUCCGGAAGAGGAGAGUGGAAUUCCUGGUGUAGCGGUGAAAUGCGCAGAUAUCAGGAGGAACACCAAUGGCGAAGGCAGCACUCUGGGACGUGACUGACGCUGAGACGCGAAAGCGUGGGGAGCAAACAGG
rnacentral:rRNA from 1 species